rnacentral:rRNA from 1 species
GUGGGGAAUCUUGCGCAAUGGGCGAAAGCCUGACGCAGCAACGCCGCGUGGGGGAUGAAGGCUCUCGGGUCGUAAACCCCUUUCAGCAGGGACGAAACUGACGGUACCUGCAGAAGAAGCCCCGGCCAACUACGUGCCAGCAGCCGCGGUAACACGUAGGGGGCAAGCGUUGUCCGGAUUUAUUGGGCGUAAAGAGCUCGUAGGUGGUUCGGUAAGUCAGGUGUGAAACCUCCAGGCUCAACCUGGAGACGCCACUUGAUACUGCUGUGACUGGAGUCCGGUAGGGGAGCGUGGAAUUCCUGGUGUAGCGGUGAAAUGCGCAGAUAUCAGGAGGAACACCAGCGGCGAAGGCGGCGCUCUGGGCCGGUACUGACACUGAGGAGCGAAAGCGUGGGUAGCAAACAGGAUUAGAAACCCCAGUAGUCC